rnacentral:tRNA from 1 species
GAUAUAGCUCAGUGGCACAGCACUUGCCUAGCAAGCAUGAGGUCCUGAGUUCAAUUUCCAGUGUC